UACGAAGGGGGCUAGCGUUGCUCGGAAUCACUGGGCGUAAAGGGCGCGUAGGCGGCCAUUCAAGUCGGGGGUGAAAGCCUGUGGCUCAACCCUGGAAUUGCCUUUAAGACUGCAUCGCUAGAAUUGUGGAGAGGUAAGUGGAAUUCCGAGUGUAGAGGUGAAAUUCGUAGAUAUUCGGAAGAACACCAGUGGCGAAGGCGACUUACUGGACACAUAUUGACGCUGAGGUGCGAAAGCGUGGGGAGCAAACAGG
rnacentral:rRNA from 1 species